GUUAUUUAUUGAGUGCCAUUCCUUUGGGUGGAACCGUGCAGAGCACACACCAGACAGGGCCUCCAUCCAAGGAAAUGGAACUCAGAUGGUUGUGAUUCAUGAGAUAAUGAUAAAGUCCCUCAGGUUGUGCAAGGGAGCUCCGAGAUGACAUCAGCCUUGGAUGUCUCAGUGCGAAGAAGCUUCCAUAUGAGAGGAAGGGGAUUAUGGUGUCUGACACCAAAGGACCAACAAUGCUUCUAGCACUGCUCUCAUGCAGCCGGAUUAAUCGCAUGUGAAGGAAGGCUAUUUGAAGACGAUUCAGCCAAGGGGCAAGCCAGCGUCCAGAGAUAAAGUGGCAGAGCUGGGAUCUAAAGGAACAGAAGGCUGACUCAAAUGGUUCCUCCCUAGAAGACUUGAGAAGAAUUUGGAUGGCAUUAAGAGGGAGCCGAAAUAAAUUUGGUUUCUUUUUCCAGAUUUUCCGAUAAAAUGUGAGGUAGAAUGUUUUCUUGACCUCAGAAAGUUAAGUCUACUGGGCUUUCUGGUGAUGGAGUUUAACUGUUUGGGUAACUACUUAAAAUUUCACUUGCGAAAUUAAGAAUGAUUCUUCCUUUUGAACCAGAUACUGUAUAAUUUUUAAUUUAUGGAAAAGAUAAAUGGUACCUGACUUUUUAGGAUAAAAUAUUAUUUUCAAACAGUUUAAUUUCUAUCGCUGCCAACAUAUAUACUUUUUUUAAAAAAAGAUUUAUUCAUUUAUUAUAUAUAAGUACACUGUAGCUGUCUUCAGAUACAGCAGAAGAGGGCAUCGGAUCUCUUUACAGAUGGUUGUGAGCCACCAUGUGGUUGCUGGGAAUUGAACUCAGGACCUCUGGAAGAGUAGUCGGGUGCUCUUAACCACUGAGCCAUCUCUCCAGCCCCCAUAUAUACUUUUUUAUGCUUUUAUAUAUUAAGCCUUUAAACGCUUAGUUUAUUUCUGUUCCUAUAAAGAUUGGGAUUCAAAUAGAGUGUCUGUUAUAGCAUAGAGGAUUAAAGGCAACUGGAGUUUAAAAAAAUGAGCUGAGUCAAAGCUUGGCAUAACAUUUCUAAUUGUAUUCUAUGUACCACUAAUGUUUCUAAAGACAUUGAACAGUGUUCUAUGUAAAUGAAAUUCUAUUGCCAGGGCAAGCCUCAAAAGGAGAGAACAAAUGAAAUAUUGGAUUUCAAGAGCCCCUGAUCUGUUAGAGGGCAUUGUGAAUCCCAAGAGAGACAAUGAAUGCAGCUUCUCCUGUUUCCUUUUUUAUAAAGGGCCUGUUUUGUAGAACAUGUCUUAGGAAUCGUGGAUGACUUAGGGCAUGAGCAAACAGCAACUCACAGGACACUGGCAGGCUUCACGGCUGUGGUCCUCAUGGUGCUUAGGGGGACUCCUGUGUUAGGCUUGACGCUCUGCCGCCAACUAGUCUGUUGUAAGUGAAACUGGAUGGAAGUGUGGGGCAAGCACAGCGCAGAGGAUUCUUGCUGAGCCGUACGACGUACGGGGGCGGGGGGUGUUCAGGCCAACGUGUGUACUCCCCAUCGGACUGGGAUUCUCUGCAGCCGUACGUAUUCAAGCAGACAGACAGACUGCUAUAAAAUACAAGAUGGAAGCUGAGGCUGGACCUAGAUCCACAUUGGAGGCAUCUACAAAGGCGUCAGCAGCAGGAGAUGGGCUCUGCUGGGGACAGGCAGCCUCAGGUCUCGGGGGUGAAACCUAAGUUUGCCAGUCGUUUUUGUGGCCAGCUUAUCCUAUUGGCACCUUUUAGCUCUGGAUCUUGGGCCUGUGAUUUCUGAAGCUCAAGAAAUAAACUCACUGAGUAAAUUAUUACCAAAUACAUGUGGAUACAGGGCUUGGGAUGUAGCUUUGCGGUAGAGCGCUUGUCUGGGUCGGUGAGACCCUGGGUUUUUCCCAGAAACACACACACACACACACACACACACACACACACACACACUCUCUCUCUCUCUCUCUCUCUCUCUCUCUCUCUCUCUCUCUCUCUCUCUCUCUUCAGAAUAGUCCGGUGAAACAUUGUAGGAAAUUAUUAUAGUUCUUCAGACUUUAGACUCUCUAGUUAUAAUUGCAUGAUUACAAAGCAAAUAAUAUGUUAAUAUCAGCUUAGAAACAGAAACUUAAUUUCAAGAUUACCAGUCUUUGGAAAACAGUACCAUUUUUGUAUAUUGCUUGGAAUUCAUUAAAUUAUGAUGAGAAAGAAAAAUCUUUUAAAUGUCUUGUCAUUGAAGACACUGGUCGACUCCAAAGAGACAUUUUGAAUUACAUUCACAUUGCGAGUUCCUUUUUCAGUUCGUUGAAGACUGAGCCAGUUAGAAGUGUUAGAGAAAGCAGGACACCAUUGUGGUACACACUGGCAUUCAUAACUAAACAUAGAUGUCCACAAACACAUGCAGAAGAAAAAGCAAGUCUCCCUAGAAAAUUGAUCGUGCAUGUAAUUACCUGUGGAUUAAAAUUUAUUGUUUGGAAUUAUUGAAUCUGAAACUUGCCUCAGUAUUACCACUAUUUAGGAGAAACAAGGCAAUUUCAGUCAAUCAGGGCAUCUCACUAACAAAAUACUGAUUUUUGCUAUAUGUUGUAUAAAACUAUUAUGCUAUGUUUUAGCUUUAGGUUGCUACUCAGUUUACCCUUAUAAAACAAUUCACAAAGGCCAAAGGUAGGAUUUUGUAUUUUUGUGUUUGUGUGUGCAUUUAACAGAACUUUGUACCGUCUCUUUGAAAAUAGCAUGGCACCCCAGUUUCACUCAUGCAGGUAAACAUGUAACACAUACUACCACAAUAAACAUUUAGGGUCAAAUAUUUCAAUAAAUGGCAACCAAUUCAGGCUUCUCUGAGAAAAGCCAGACUGGAAAAGAGUAGGCAAACUCUGAAAAGAGCAAAUCCAGCUAAUUCUAAUUCCAGGAGUCUCUUUAAUUUUGGGGGGUUGGGGAAGCUAUAAGUAUUUUUCGUCUUGUUUCUUUUAAAAUUAUUUAGGCUGAUGAAUCUCAGAGACAGUUGACGAACGGCGGAGUGCAGAGUUGCCAUGCUCCACAGAGAUCCAUCCCAGUGCAGGCUUAUAAAACGGUUUUCUGGCUUUCCACUCUUCUAACCCAUGAGACAUAUAUUAGUUUCAGUAGAAUAAAAUCGUUAAGGAUAUAUAUAUAUAUAUGUGUGUAUAUAUAUAUAUAUAUCAAGUUCUGCGUUACUAUAACUGAAAUAACAGCUUUAAAACUCAGUGUCUCCUACAUCUGAAUUUUACAAGCACCCACCACCACCACCACCACCACCACCACCACCAAAAUAAAUACAAAAACGAUGUGUGUGUGUGUGCAUGCUGUUGCUUUAAGAAUGAGCCAACAGGUAAGAACAAUGCCUGCUCUUCCAGAGGAUCCCAGUUCAAUUUUCAGUACUUACAUGGUGGCUCACAGACAGCUGUAACUGCAGUUCCAAGGAGUAUGGUGUCCUCUUCCGGCUUCUUUGGGUACCAGACAAGCACACAGUGCACAGACAUGCAGGCAAAACACCCAUACAUAUUUAAAAUAUAAAUAAAUACAUUUUUAAAAAGGAUGGAGAUAUUGGGCUCCUCUCAGUAUCAAACUGGACCAUUACCUUGAGGGAAUAAAUUUGUUUCUGUGUUUACAGGCAUUAUUAGGAUUAUAACUCCCCAAUUUUUUUUAUUUAGGUGACUUUUAGAAAUGUGGAAACAUUCCUUUCCAUUACAGCUGUUUCCCUUAAUGUCUCCAGCCCUAGAGGAAUAUUUAUCUCGUGUUUGAGCUAUAACACUCUUACUUUGUGGAAUUAAAUGGCGGCUCCCCUCAGAGAAAGCAUUCGCUGUCUUUCCACCAUUCAUCCCCUUCCUUUUCCACAGAGGGACUACAUCCUCAUGUGAUCCUUCCAGUGGGUACGGUUUUCAACUCGGUCAUGCUAGGAAAGUGCCCACCACCCUGACAAACUUGCGAUGACUUGCUGGAUUUCAGUUAACUAAUAUAAAAAGAGUCCUUGGCCGGUGAAAAUGUCCUUGGUGUCAUUGUUGCAAGUAGAUAAAUGCCAGCUUGAAUCUGCAUGCAAAAGGCAAAGGAUUAAUGCAACAUCCCUUAGUUUCUUCCAGAGGAAAAUGGAACUCAGAGCGGAAUUUUACAAAAUCCAAUUUGUUAGUGGGAAGACAAUGGCUACAUCAGGCCAUUAUUUCAACCUUUCCUGGCACUUAAAUAUGACUUCUGCCCAUUGAAUGAUUCUGCUUCUCUGUCCGUUCAGUGCUUUCUUGAGCUCAGUGAGCUGUGGUUCCCAAGGAGAGCUUUUUCAGUCUUCAUCUGCUUUGGUUGUUUUGUUUGAGAUUUCGUUGAACUAACAGAGUAUUGAUUUAUUUUCCUUUUUCCUUAAACUUAGACCGUGAAACCUAAAUUAUGCAAAUGGCCUCAGGUUCCCAGGAAAAAAGGCACGCUGCCUUCAGCACGUGGGGGGUUUCAGCCAUUCAGAUGUGUGAAUGCUCUGAAAGUCUCAUCGCUUUCCAUCCCCAGCCUGAUCUGAACUGAUCUGCAGCUCCUGACAUCCCGGUCAAGUUCUAGAGUCUGGAAGCCAGAAUACUAUGGACAGAUUGCUGUGUCUUUUUUUUUUUUUCCCCGGAGCUGGGGACCGAACCCAGGGCCUUGCGCUUCCUAGGUAAGCGCUCUACCACUGAGCUAAAUCCCCAGCCCCGCUGUGUCUUUUCAUAGUCCGAAUGAAGGCUUUUCUUUUCCAAUAGCAUUUCUUUUCAUUUACUUCCCCCAGUCUAGCAAAUGACCCAAAUGUCUAUGAAAAACCAGCAAGCAAGCAGCAAACCCUACAGAAGGCAAGGCGUUUCCUUUCACCUCCCACAUGGCAUGCCUUAACAUUCCUGUUUUCACCCAGGCACCAAACCUGCCUGGCCCACCUCUCUCCGUCACUGUAGGGUCACAAACUCCCAUGACCGUUCUCAUCUCUCAUCUAGGAUCUCACCUUAGCUUACUUAAUGGUCCCGGGCUUUUCCUGUUACCUCUUAUUAUUCAUGCUCCAAAAACCAGCCAUUAUGACUCUCUUCAAAUGUUAAGUCAGACCCUGUGAUAUUUUACGUACAGUCCUGUACAAUUUUACAUACAAGGCCUAGCUGUCUGACAGCCCUUUCGACUCUAUCCUUAGAUCCUUAUAGUUUGGUCCUCCUGGCUAUAUCCCAUUUUUUUUGAAGAUGCUAAGUCUAUUUUUGCCUUUGCCUUAACUCAGCUGAUAUCUGUGUGGUUAGAGGAGUGUGCACAUCCCUCCGUUUCUCACCCAUUUAAGUUCGACUAUAGCGUUAUGCCAAUGACUUUCACACGAACGUACAUCCCAUUCUACCAGAAAACAGCUUGGCAGAAGUAAAGAAGCGUCCCUUAGACCUAACCGCACUGUGGAAGGAUUCACACUGAGCCAAAUUUGCCAUCACACUUCAGCUUUUUGAAAUCUUUCUCAGUUCUUCAGAAACCGCCAUGCUCUUCUUGGAGUAUUCUGGUCAGCAAGAGAGGAAGGUUCUGGAAGCUGAGUACUACUCCCCACCCAAUGACUGAAUAAAAUAGUGGUUUAAGGGA